AAAGCACGCAUAUACACACUCUGCAUAUUCGAAAUCGGCAAUCAGCUGUGACAACAUGGCGGGCAUGCUGUUUAUCGCUCGGUCGACUUAAAUUAAGACACAGGGAUCCGAAAACAGAGUCAGAGCAGUUAUUCCUAUACGUCGGCAGCGUAAACGACACAUAUUGGCCUGGAUUUUUAAUAAAACGCGAGAGCUUGCCUUCAAGUGUUAUAACAACCUGUUUUUGUCGCUUGACGUUGGAUUGUCAGUGAAACUACGCCAUUGAUGUGUAGUGGAAGACAUUGCGACACGUGCAUUUUCAUCCCAUUGCAUCAUCAUACUUCAUGAUAAAGUAUCAAAACUACUUAUCGCACGAUUUUAUCCUCGUCGCAGUUAAAAAGGGACUAUUGGAUCGAUCCAAAAAUCACUGACGAUCAUAUUCGUACUUAAUUUACACUGUAUUAAAACUACAUUUGGAUUGAAACAUCUUCUUAAACGUUUGCGAGUGAAUUAAUGUAUUUGAAAAGAAUUACGCGUCCACAUGUAAACAUUAUUUUAUAAAGACAUCAAUAAGAUACAGAGCUAUACGAAAUUAGUGUAACUUGUAUUUGGGUUAAGCAUUAGGAAAUAUUGUUAUAAUUUAUUAUUUUCGUAAUACGUAUCGCUUUACUGUGUUACUGUGUAAUUGCGAACGCUCAGUACAUAAAGUACCGAGACAACAAAACGAAAUAACUGCCUUAAAUUUUCAAGAUAACUGACAGUUUGAAUGACGUAAAAACAGAAAUGUUUUAUCACUAUACUCCAACAAGUUACAUUAUGCAUUUUGUGUGUACACUAGCAUAUCUAUAAAAUCUCUUCUGCGAAGUUUCUACAUCAGUUUUCUCGAGAUCACGCGACAGAAAUUAGUACUGCCUAAAAACGAAUUUAUUAAAAGUUUACUGCAAUCUUAAAACUUUUCUAGAGUAUCUGGAAAAUUAGAUUUUUAUAUUUUCGAUAAAUUGUGAAGUUUAUCGAUUAUAAAUUUGUGCAAAUAGUGUAUUAAAAAGAGGAGUGAAGAAGAAGCGCGUUUAUUUAAAGUAAAAAGGGCCAGAAUCGAGGUGACCAAAAUGAUAAAUAAUCAGCAUUGUAUGAUUCUUAAUACUGGUGAGACCAAUAAUUAUCAUCAACCAGUCUCGGCUAAGCCUUCAGUUGUCUCGGUAUCGAGUAUUGACUCUGAUGUCAGUGACAGAAGAGAUGUACGCGAAGAAUUGUACGCUGGAAUCUUUAGGAGGCACAGAAAAACUAUAUUGAAAUAUUUGGACAGGUUGCAUGCUCUGAGCCGGAUAUAUGCAUUAAUUGCUUUAAGAUUCGAAACACAUCAAAAGUUUUGGUAAAAUCGCUGUAUUUUUCUGCAUUUCGCCAUAUAUUAUAUAACUGCAUUUUCACGUUUUAAAUAUGCGUCGUCUCACAUGUUCCAUGUUAAAAUAUUUACGUUACGUAUUACUUUUUAUGGGGUUUAAAAGUAAUGCUAAAGUUUUUGCGCUUUUAUAAUACAGACAGAUAGAGAGAGAGAGAGAGAGAGAGACAGAGAGAGACAGAGAGUAAUUUUUGUAGAAUUUAGAACAUUCUGACUAAAAAUAAAAACGAUUAUUGUUAUACAAUCCAAAACAGACCAUCAAAUCAGUCAACAUCGUAAUGUAUACUGAAAUUACUGUCUGUGUUAUUGUUAACGAGCUUAAUAUUAAUUAGAGAUACGUAAUUGAGGGCAUAUGUAACAGUAUAAGAUUUGUAUUAUAGAUAUGAACUAAUCGAAUAUCGAAUCAAUGCCUUAUUAUUCAAAAUGUUAAUGUUCUUUCUAUUUUUAUCGAUUAAUUAUUGUAAUUAAAUAAUCAUCAACAUUUGUUAAUUUGAUUAUUCUUUGUUCUAUAUCUGAAUCUUCGUACAAUUUGUGUUUUUAUAUUAGAUACUGCCAUUAGAGAAUAAAUCACGAUAAGAUUAACGAGAAUAAAUUAACGAGAGCAACUUGGAAAACAAUCGUACAUUUAACAAUUUCCUAAGGCAUAUUUAAACAAUUUUUAAAUAAUUUCUACUUAAUAAGGCAAAGGUGUUUCUCUGUAUUUAGCCGAACCACUCGUUGUUGUAAGACUGAAACAUGUGCUCUUUUGGAACAUUAAACGUGCCAUAUUAUCUUAGAAAAAAUGCUCGAUAGAAAAGAAGCAGAAUAACGAAAAAAGGAAAAUGGAUUUUUGAAUUGUUAUAAAUUUAAAUGUAAUAUGAUGUGGAAAUUCAUGCGUAUCAUUAUCGAAAAGAUUGUUUUGCUUUUGAAAUAAUCAGACUGCAAAUAAAAUGGCUGCGAAUAUUGAUCAGAGAAUCUGCAAAAUAUAAAGUUACUUAAGCGAUUGCAAUUGAGUGUGUGUGUGUGUGUGUGUAUGUAUGUAUUAGAAAUUCUUACAUAUACAUACGCAACGGUAGAAAUAUGUUAGAAAUAUUCUUCGGAACUACCAAAAUAUGCUUGGAGUCUGUAUCUUAUGACAUAGUAGUUUCCACAAACCGAAAAGAAUAAAAAAUAUUCGCGCAGCUGCUUAUGACCAAUUUUUAAGUAGUAGCAAAAAUCUGUACGUUAGCUUCGUCAGAUUAUUUGCAUAGAUUAUUUACGUAUUGUGCAACGUAAACAUUUACUAAUUGUAAGAAAUGAGACCUUUGUUGAUAAUAAAAGAAAAGGGAGCUAUAUUUCGCAUUUGAUUGUCCAGGUUCUAUGUGAUUUUUGUAAUGAGCAACUAUGUCCUAAAUGCGUUGUGUUGGAUGAGAAAAAAUUUGUAUUAUCACUUUGUAUCGUUAGAGUGUAUCACACAAGGAAUGUGUAUGUGAAACACACAAAAUAAAGUAUUCAUAUUAUGUUUAA